rnacentral:rRNA from 1 species
GUGGGGAAUAUUGGACAAUGGGGGGAACCCUGAUCCAGCCAUGCCGCGUGUGUGAAGAAGGCCUUUUGGUUGUAAAGCACUUUAAGCGAGGAGGAGGCUACCGAGAUUAAUACUCUUGGAUAGUGGACGUUACUCGCAGAAUAAGCACCGGCUAACUCUGUGCCAGCAGCCGCGGUAAUACAGAGGGUGCAAGCGUUAAUCGGAUUUACUGGGCGUAAAGCGCGCGUAGGUGGCCAAUUAAGUCAAAUGUGAAAUCCCCGAGCUUAACUUGGGAAUUGCAUUCGAUACUGGUUGGCUAGAGUAUGGGAGAGGAUGGUAGAAUUCCAGGUGUAGCGGUGAAAUGCGUAGAGAUCUGGGGGAAUACCGAUGGCGAAGGCAGCCAUCUGGCCUAAUACUGACACUGAGGUGCGAAAGCAUGGGGAGCAAACAGGAUUAGAAACCCGUGUAGUCC